CCUACGGGUGGCUGCAGUGGGGGAUAUUGCACAAUGGGGGGAACCCUGAUGCAGCGACGCCGCGUGGGUGAAGGAGGAUUUCGGUAUGUAAAGCCCUAUCGGCAGGGAAGAAGCAAGACGGUACCUGACUCAGAAGCCCCGGCUAACUACGUGCCAGCAGCCGCGGUAAUACGUAGGGGGCGAGCGUUAUCCGGAUGCACUGGGGGUAAAGGGAGCGUAGACGGCCAGGCAAGCCAGGGGUGAAAGCCCGGGGCCCCACCCCGGGACUGCCCUUGGAACUGCAGGGCUGGAGUGCGGGGGGGGCAGGCGGAAUUCGUGGUGUAGCGGUGAAAUGCGUAGAUAUCAGGAGGAACACCGGCGGCGAAGGCGGCCUGCUGGACCGCGACUGACGUUGAGGCUCGAAAGCGUGGGGAGCGAACAGGAUUAGAUACCCUAGUAGUC
rnacentral:rRNA from 1 species